GAAUAUGGGGGGACCAUCCUCCAAGGCUAAAUACUCCUGACUGACCGAUAGUGAACCAGUACCGUGAGGGAAAGGCGAAAAGAACCCCGGCGAGGGGAGUGAAAAAGAACCUGAAACCGUGUACGUACAAGCAGUGGGAGCACCCUUUGGGGUGUGACUGCGUACCUUUUGUAUAAUGGGUCAGCGACUUAUAUUCUGUAGCAAGGUUAACCGAAUAGGGGAGCCGGAGGGAAACCGAGUCUUAAUUGGGCGUUAAGUUGCAGGGUAUAGACCCGAAACCCGGUGAUCUAGCCAUGGGCAGGUUGAAGGUUGGGUAACACUAACUGGAGGACCGAACCGACUAAUGUUGAAAAAUUAGCGGAUGACCUGUGGCUGGGGGUGAAAGGCCAAUCAAACCGGGAGAUAGCUGGUUCUCCCCGAAAGCUAUUUAGGUAGCGCCUCGUGAAUUCAUCUCCGGGGGUAGAGCACUGUUUCGGCUAGGGGGCCAUCCCGGCUUACCAACCCGAUGCAAACUGCGAAUACCGGAGAAUGUUAUCACGGGAGACACACGGCGGGUGCUAACGUCCGUCGUGAAGAGGGAAACAACCCAGACCGCCAGCUAAGGUCCCAAAGUCAUGGUUAAGUGGGAAACGAUGUGGGAAGGCCCAGACAGCCAGGAUGUUGGCUUAGAAGCAGCCAUCAUUUAAAGAAAGCGUAAUAGCUCACUGGUCGAGUCGGCCUGCGCGGAAGAUGUAACGGGGCUAAACCAU
rnacentral:rRNA from 1 species